rnacentral:rRNA from 1 species
GAUGAACGCUGGCGGCGUGCCUAAUACAUGCAAGUCGAGCGAACAGACGAGGAGCUUGCUCCUCUGACGUUAGCGGCGGACGGGUGAGUAACACGUGGAUAACCUACCUAUAAGACUGGGAUAACUUCGGGAAACCGGAGCUAAUACCGGAUAAUAUAUUGAACCGCAUGGUUCAAUAGUGAAAGACGGUUUUGCUGUCACUUAUAGAUGGAUCCGCGCCGCAUUAGCUAGUUGGUAAGGUAACGGCUUACCAGGGCAACGAUGCGUAGCCGACCUGAGAGGGUGAUCGGCCACACUGGAACUGAGACACGGUCCAGACUCCUACGGGAGGCAGCAGUAGGGAAUCCUCCGCAAUGGGCGAAAGCCUGACGGAGCAACGCCGCGUGAGUGAUGAAGGUCUUCGGAUCGUAAAACUCUGUUAUUAGGGAAGAACAAAUGUGUAAGUAACUAUGCACGUCUUGACGGUACCUAAUCAGAAAGCCACGGCUAACUACGUG